rnacentral:rRNA from 1 species
CUGAAGGGGGAAGAAGGGUUUCGUGUGAACAGUGGUUGAUCACGAGUUAGUCGGUCCUAAGUUCAAGGCGAAAGCCGAAAAAUAUUAAGUAAAUAUUAUUAUUUAUAAAAUAUUAAACUUAAUUUAUUGAACGAAAGGGAAUACGGUUCCAAUUCCGUAACCUGUUGAGUAUACGUUUGUUAUUAAAAAUGGGCUUUAACGCUCAUCCUGGUAACAGAAACAACCAUAAAGAAACCGUCGAGAGAUAUCGAAAGAGUUUUCUUUUCUGUUUUAUAGUCGUACCACCAUGGAAGUCUUUCGAAGAGAGAUAUGGUGGAUGGACUAGAAGAGCAUGGCAUUUACUGUUGUUCGAUAUUUUCUAGUCUUAAUUUGGGUCCCAAUGGGGAACUCCAUCGGCUUAAAAGUGUUCGACAAGCAUAU